GCAAUUUGGCUUUGACUUGCAGGGGUGUAAACAAGUAUGCUCACAUUCUCCCCCAUAGGUGAGAUAGUCCCACAUGACUUGGAAGAUCCCUGCUCCUCCAACAGGCCGUCCCCUAUCACCGUCUCCACAAACACCAUCUGUAUGUACUGAGGAAGUGAUUUCACAAAUAAGCAUCUGGAGACAAAAUCUGCACUGCCCACCAGCAGUCAUGGGAAAAUACCCAUUGGAGAAUGGUGGGGGUUGAUGGAGUGGCCUCAAGAAGAUAGGAGUCUCUCCAAGGGACUAGGUAUAUUCCUACAUGAACAUAAUAUGAAAGGUUAAUCCCAAUGGUCUAUA
rnacentral:lncRNA from 1 species